UGAGGAGCAGACCUCUCAUCAGGUCCCCCAAAUCCCAUACGAUGUGGCUGCUGCCCUUCUCCUACAUGCUGUUCCAGCCACAUCUGCAAUCAUGAGAUGCGAGCUCCAUGAACUCAAGGAGCUCACCUGCGUUGUCUGCCGCUGUCUUCCUGGAGCCUUGGCCAUCUGGUACAUGGUCCUGACAAGCUGGGUCCCGAGGUCACCUGGAGUGCAGAAAUGUCCGCCCAGCCACUCCCCCUCUGCUGGCCAAUCAGCUUAUAACCCAUCACUCAAACAACAUGGGGGCCCCCGGGAGAAGGGCCAGCCUGGGCAUCCACAUUCCAGCUCAAGUCCUGAUGCCAGUUCUGGUUGGCCAAGCCUGGGCCAGAGGUCCUACAGACCAAGAGAGGGGAGAGGUGAUUCCCCAGGUGACAACAUCAAGGCAGUUCCCAGCAAACAGGAUAGUAAGGGUGGCCAGGGAAAACUGCCAGCGUCCACCAUGGCUCCAGCGCUUCUGCUGGGAGGGCAGGU
rnacentral:lncRNA from 10 species